CUGAAGGCUUUCUUUCAUGUUCUUUCUUUUUGUUCCUCUGACCAGGAAACUUAGACGACCUGCAUUUGUCAACCUGUUUCAAGCUUGCUGGUAAGUCUGCUGUUGAAGCUCUCUUUAGCUUUUCAUUUCAGUCAUCGUGUUCUUCAGCUCCAGGAUGUUGUGUUCCUUUUUUAUGGUUUUUAUCUUUGUUGGAUCCUCCCUCUACUUGUGCACCCCUUUCCUAUUUAUUACCUGUGUCCCUGGUAGGUCACCAAACUUCUUCAAGAUGAUUAUUUUGAGUUCUUUGUCAGGAAGUUCAAAGAUCUCCAUUGCCUUAGGGCCAGUCACUGGUGCCUAGUUGUAUCAUGCCUCCCUGAUUCUUCCCACCCUGUUGCCUUGAGUUUGGGUCUGAGCAUUUGAAGACAUAGGAACUGUUAGGUGCAGGACAGGCUGAGUAAGCUGUCUGCAGGGCAUGCCAAACAAAGUUAGCUGCAGGAUGACCUGCCCUCUGAAACCCUCUGUCUGGUUCUUUAUCAACUAUUUGCUUCAAGCCCAAACGCCCAAGCCCCCGCUCAAGGCUGAACACUCAACCCCCUGCUCAAGGCCAAACACGUAACCCCCCUUGUGUCAACAAGGCAGCUUGCAGACCCAGAGACCUCAUUAGAUUUGGGCUAUAAAAACUCCCUCCUGCCGGGCCCCUCUCUCUUGCUUUCUCUGUCUCUCUCUUGCGUGCACUUCCUCUCUCUCUCUCUCUCUCUCUCUCUCUCUCUCUCUCUCUCUCUCUUUUUCUCCUCUGUUGCACUGCUGCAAUAAAGAUCUUUUGGUUGCUCUGAGUGUUGUGGUCACUUUCCUUUCAGGAACCUCUAUGGUCUUUGCUCCCUGGCUUCUGCAAGGAAAUCCAUGCACCAGUCCACUUAUCAGAGGGAUUCUGGGCAGGCCAGCUGGCGGAUCCAUGGACAGGCACACUGCUUGGAGUCCUGAGGUCACUGGGUGGGUGGACCUGGAGGCUGGGUCCUCUGGGGUGGACCUGGAGAUUCGUUCCACUGGAGUAGGCCUGUUGACUGGGUCUGCAGUGGGGAGCGGUACCUGGAAACUGUCUGUGGGGCUGGCCUGAUUCCUAGGUCCAUGGAUCCAAACUUUCCCUGGGGUGAGCUUUGAGCCUGAGUCCACAGGGCAUGGCCUGGCACUGGGUGGGCCUUGGGCUUGGUUCCACAGGCAUGAGCCUGGUCCUGAGUCCACAGGGGCCACCCUGAUGCCAGGGUUCACUCAGGUAGGCCUGGGGUCAGAGAAGCUAAAUUAGUGGAGGUCAGCCUGGUACUGGGGCUGCAAGAGCCGGCCUGGCAGGGAUGACCUGGUGUCUGAGUCUCCUGGGUCCUGAGUCUACAUGGGCCAGCCUGGAUCCUGGGCCUUGACCCUGGAUCCACUAUGGGGAUUCUUAAUGUCGACUGCUGCACAGCACUAGAGAACUAAUGGUCAUCAGCCAAUAUCCUUCCCCACUUCCAACCAACCAAGGGUUCAGUGGCCCGAGCACACCGUGUUGUGCAUCACACCCCCACCGAGUUCGUGAUACUGUUGGCACAUGCCUGGAUGUACCUGAGUUGCACCAGGUAAAGCCCAUUCAACGUCCACUGUCAGCGUUGGCUCUGACCACCCCCCCCCACGUUGGCCUAACCAGUCGGCACAACUGCACUUCCCUCAGGUAGAUAGUCUGUUGAGCUGAACUUUCCAUUUCUUGCUCGUUUGUCUAAAAAGCCUUUAUAUUGCCUUUGUUUUUGAAAAUCAUUCUUUCCUCCGUGUAAACUUCUGGGUUGACACUUGGAGGAUGCAGUCCUGUUGUCUUCCAGAGGCCAUGGCUGCAGCGGAGCGUCCCUGUGGACUGGUUUCAGUCGGGGUGACCUUUUGCUCUCUGGCUGCUCUCAGAACUGUCUUCAGUGCCCUGCGGCUUCACUAGGACGGCUCAGGAUCUGCAUUUCUAUUUGCCCUUCCUGGCAUUCUUGAAUCUCUGCACUCUGCACUCCGUCACUCUUCCUGGAGGACAGCCAGCCAGUGUCCUUGGAUGCCAGCUCUUCCACUCUGCCUCCGCCUGGAGUCUGUGGGAGCUCCACGCCCUCCUCCUCGCACCCCCUUGAUCUCUGCAGAGUCAGGGGUUUCAUCAGUACCAUUUUCCAGUUCAGUAAUUUGGUUGGGGAGGGGGAGUACUGGGGAUGGAACCCAGGGGUGCUUCACCACUGAGCCACAUCCCCAGCCCUUUUUGAGACAGGCUCUUGCUAAGUUGCUGAUGGUCUCACUAAAUUGCUGAGACUGUCCUCAAACUUGCAAUCCUCCUGCCUCAGCCUCCCAAGCCACUGAGUUACAGGCGUGCGUUACCAUGCCGGCCAGGUCAAUAAAUCUUUCUUUGGUUGUUUCUAACCUGAGAUUAAGCCCGUACACUGAGAUGUAAACGUCCGUGGUGUAGAAGAGCUGUCUGGGAAGGAAAAUGGCCCUGAGAGUUCACUGUGAGUGGCCUGGACAGAGGCUGGCU
rnacentral:lncRNA from 1 species